rnacentral:lncRNA from 15 species
CUAACUUUAACUGGUGUCUGGUGCUCAACUGCAAUCACUGAUAUAUUGUGUGUUGUUUCUCUUGCUGGCUUUUCCACAGGUUCCUCUCUAAAUGAACUAGUCUACCAGAAUCCAGCCCACACUUUCAACAAACCUGAAGGAGCAGCUAAAAUUGAGUGUUCACACAGUAUUCAAAACUAUAAUACAAUCCUCUGGUACAAGAAAUCAAAGAACAGACAGCUGCAGUUGCUUGGAUACAUGAUGGGAGGCAGUGGAUCUCCAGAGAAGGGAGUGAAUGUGAAGAUAGCAGGGAGUGCAAAUAAAGACCAAAACUGCACAUUAACAAUUGAAGAACUCCAGCUGAACAGCAGUGCAGUGUACUUCUGUGCUGCUAGUUUACACAGUGCUACAUAUCACUGCGCCUCAGUACAAAAACCUCCACAACACAUUUUGUUAUCUCGCUGCUUCAGCUCACAGCCUCUUGCACCUGUAUGCUUUCCUUUUAUGAGGUGCUGAUAUAUCUUUAAUCAGACCUUUAUACAGAGGCAGCAGUGGUAGUUGAGAUGAUGGUUAUAAUGUUAAGAGGAGGAGGAUACACUUAUGGCACCACCCACCUCAUGCCUUCAUGUUGGUUUGCUGAUAGGAGGGUUUACUCAAAGAGGAGGAUGGAAAUAAUCAUAAUCAUCUGCCGACACACUGAGAAUAUCUUUUUGUAUCAACGAUCAAAUUAUUAACAACCCCAAAGACAACAUGAUCAUCUUAUUCCUAAGCAUUCAUUUGAACACUAUUCUGGUUUCAGCAGGUUCCUCUCUCAGUGACCAAGUCCACCAGACUCCAGCUGACAUUUACAACACACCAGGACAAAUAGCCAAGAUCGAAUGUUUCCACACCAAUCCAAGCUUUGACCGAAUCUACUGGUACAAGCAAACAAGACAGACAGUUGCAGUUGCUGGGAUACAUGGUGGGAGGCAGUGGAUUUCCAGAAACUGGAGUGAAGGUGAAGAUAGUAGGGAGUGCAAAUAAAGACCAAAACUGCACAUUAACAAUUGAAGAACUCCAGCUGAACAGCAGUGCAGUGUACUUCUGUGCUGCUAGAUUACACAGUGCUAC